AUACAUGGCCGACCUGGGUCAAAGUCCAGUAUCUGUUCUUAUCAGCUUAAUAUCUGACACGGGCUCUAUUUGGACGCAAGGUGUUAUACUUAUUUUCGCAAGUUGACGGAGUGCUUGAAGCCCACUUUACCUCCGCCACGGCCCAGCCCGGUAUUGCACUAUCUUCGGGAUUGGCCUACAGGUA